AAAUCCCUUCUUUAAAUUUUGAAUCGUGCGCUCCAAUUCAGUGCCUCAGAUUCACUGGAAAAGCCAAUUCAUACUCACUUGUGUAUCCCCCUCCUUCUAGCCUGACAAUUCCGAGGGGGUCAAGAAUUUCACAGCAGAUGGGACACCUCCUUGGUGAGAGCAGAAUACGAGCACACAAAAACCAAGUUUCUUCUCCUAAAAAUCCCCUGGCAAUCGCUUGGUAAUAAUUUUCCCCAAGACAGCGUGGACACCACCUCCUAAAUGACCUUCACGAAUUUCCUUCCUAAACCCUAACACGCUCGUCAACCUGUGUACCAAGCAAUCGUUGCCACCUGACUAAUCCAGGCUCCUGUGGGUCUGUGCCCCUUCUAAUCCCUCCCAGGGGGGUGAUCAGGCCCCCACUUCCACCCUACCGGGUGGGUUCCUCCUCACCCCAGCGCUCACUUUCCUUGAUGCCAUCUACUACCUGUUAACGUGAAAGGUCCGGGCAUUGAGAAGCAGAAUCCUUCCAGAAGCGCCAGGCGCCUUCCCCCCUCCAGAAGAUUUGAGCCACAAGGCCUUGGAGUAGUCCCAAAUGGGACCUGACUCCUCAAAGUGAGGAGUUUCCUGGCCCAUGCGCCAAAUGUAGCCACAUGUUCCAGGAAACAAACUCACUCAGAAGGACAGUGCAGAUAGCGGAGUGCAGUUUAUUACACCGGCAGGCCCAAGGCAGAGUCUCCUCUUAGCCAAGGACCUCGAUCAGUUUUUGUGAAAACUUUAUAUAUCCUAAGUGUACCUGCCCAAACCCACCUCCCCAAAUUCCCUGAAACUAGUCUGAACAAAGGAAAAGAAAGAUACAAAGUUAACCCGUGAUUCAUAUGCCUUAAGCCUAGGUAGUUAACAGGGGACAAUUAUCAAUACACUUGUGCUCAUACCCCAAUAAGCAUACUAGAAUGUAUGAUUCUAUUCGGUUAAACAGAUAAUUAGGGUAUUCUUUUAGGCAACAGAGAGUCUAGCUACGAGCCCUGGGGUUCCAUCCAGGGGCCCUGGCUUUCCAGUUGGUAUGUCGUUUCCACAGAUACUGGGCAUAUAGCUCAAAGCCCGCAGUCCGGCCCAAGACGGAGUCCUGCUUUCAAGACGGAGCCUGUUCUGUUUCCUCCUUCAGCGGAAGGCAGCCUGUCCCUGGAGGUCCUCUCACCAGCUCCAAGGCUGCCAAACCCAGGCCUCACGGGAGAGGACGGUCUGUCUGGAGGCUGCACGUGGCCGGCUGCGGGGCAUGGCGCGACUCGGGGAGCCCGUGGGAGCCUGGCUGGCCC
rnacentral:lncRNA from 1 species